rnacentral:rRNA from 1 species
UACAGAGGUCUCAAGCGUUGUUCGGAUUCAUUGGGCGUAAAGGGUGCGUAGGCGGCGCGGUAAGUCGGGGUGUGAAAUCUCGGGGCUUAACCCCGGGACUGCAUUCCAUACUGCGGUGCUUGAGGACUGGAGAGGAGACUGGAAUUUACGGUGUAGCAGUGAAAUGCGUAGAGAUCGUAAGGAAGACCAGUGGCGAAGGCGGGUCUCUGGACAGUUCCUGACACUGAGGCACGAAGGCCAGGGGAGCAAACAGG